UACGUAGGCAGCGAGCGUUGUUCGGAAUCACUGGGCGUAAAGCGCACGUAGGCGGAUUGCUAAGUCAGGGGUGAAAUCCUGGAGCUCAACUCCAGAACUGCCUUUGAUACUGGCGAUCUUGAGUCCGGGAGAGGUGAGUGGAACUGCGAGUGUAGAGGUGAAAUUCGUAGAUAUUCGCAAGAACACCAGUGGCGAAGGCGGCUCACUGGCCCGGUACUGACGCUGAGGUGCGAAAGCGUGGGGAGCAAACAGG
rnacentral:rRNA from 1 species